rnacentral:rRNA from 1 species
CCUGAGAAACCCAAAAGAUCGAAUGGGGAGAUUCAUCGUCAGCGACCUUGGCACGUGUGCGGUUCGUGAUGUCGGAGACUUUGGUCUCAUGGCACAUGACCGUAUGGAUUUUUGCCGGGUGUCGUCGGCGUGCACUUCUCCCCUAGUAGGACGUCGCGACCCGUUGAGUGUCGGUCUACGGCCCGGGUGGGCGCCUGUCAUGUGUUAGCUUUACGGCGUCAUGUGGCAGACCCCCGGUUGCCUGACCAGCUGCUCGGCGGUACUCGCACGGUAUCGAGUCGCAAAUAUUCGAACUGCGUCCGGCCCGCCGCAAGCGAGGCCAGUGUUUCCCGGAUGUGCGGACCUAGCGCCGUCACCGGGCCUGGCCAGCUGUUGGUUGGCGGUGUCCUGGGACUGGCUCUUAAUUAUGAUACCRGUSRGCGACGCUACUGCUUUGGGUACUUUCAGGA